rnacentral:rRNA from 1 species
UACGUAGGGUGCGAGCGUUGUCCGGAAUUAUUGGGCGUAAAGAGCUCGUAGGCGGUUUGUUGCGUCGGCCGUGAAAACUCAGGGCUUAACUCUGAGCCUGCGGUCGAUACGGGCAGACUUGAGUUCGGUAGGGGAGACUGGAAUUCCUGGUGUAGCGGUGAAAUGCGCAGAUAUCUGGAGGAAUACCGGUGGCGAAGGCGGCAUCCUGGACCGACAUUGACGCUGAGGAGCGAAAGCUAGGGGAGCAAACGGG